rnacentral:rRNA from 1 species
UACGUAGGGUGCGAGCGUUGUCCGGAAUUAUUGGGCGUAAAGAGCUCGUAAGCGGUUUGUUGCGUCGGCCGUGAAAACCUGCAGCUUAACUGUGGGCCUGCGGCCGAUACGGGCAGACUUGAGUUCGGUAGGGGAGACUGGAAUUCCUGGUGUAGCGGUGAAAUGCGCAGAUAUCAGGAGGAACACCGGUGGCGAAGGCGGUUCUCUGGGCAUUACCUGACGCUGAGGAGCGAAAGUGUGGGGAGCGAACAGG